UAAGUGUAAAUGUAAGUGUAAGUGUAAAUGUAAGUAUAAAUGUAAGUGUAAAUGUAAGUGUAAAAAGUGUAAGCGUAAAUGUAAGUGUAAAAAGUGUAAUUGUAAGUAAUUACAUGGAAUUGUAAGUAAGUGUAAAUGUAAGUGUAAAUGUAACUUUAAAUGUAACUAAAAUGUAAGUGCAAGUGUAAAUGUAAAUGUAAGUAAGUGUAAAAAGUGUAAGUGUAAAUGUAAGUAAGUGUAAAUGUAAAUGUAAGUGUAAAAAUGUAAGUGAAAGUAUAAAUGUAAAUGUAAUUUUAAUUAAAAUGGAAAUGUAAGUGUAAAUGUAAGUGUAAAUGUAAUUUUAAGUAAAGUGCAAGUGUAAAUGUAAAAAUGUAAGUGCAAGUAUAAAUGUAAGUGUAAAUGUGACUGCACGUGUAAGUGUAAAUGUAAUUUAGAGUAAAAUAUAAAUGUGAGUGUAAAUGAAGUUGGAGGGCCAGGCUGCAAGCAGCCUGAGUCAGCUGUUUUUAUAACUGCUGUUGUUGUAACUGUUGUUAUCCUGCUGCUAUAACUACACGUUAUAUUACUGGCUUUAUGCAAAUAUUCAAAUGAAUGCUGGAUGUGGAAUGUUGGAAGACUGUGCUGUAUGAAGAGAGUUUCUUUGAGUUCUGCUAUUUACAAAACUUAGAAAAGUAGUGUGAUAAAUAGAUAUAUUUUUGGACUAUAACGUGGUGAUGUAAAAAGCUGCUUUUUUACUGUCAAAAGCUCCAGUCUCCCAUCAAAUUUCACCUUCUUGCACCAAUAAUGACCUGGAUCCUGAGUGCACAUCAAUUGCUUUCUGAUUAAAAUAUACUCUUUUUGAAUAAAAUAUGUCCUUAAUGAGGCAAAACCACUCGUGAUUCAAGCCAAAGGAUUUAUUUACCUUUUCAAGGUGCAGAAAGCAAAGGCCUGAGUUUUACCACAUUCACUCUGCCAUGAAUUUGAUAAGGAACCACAGAGGAAAGUCCAAACAACUUCUGAAAACAUGCAGCAGGAUGGACAUGAAGGAUUUCCCAGCUCAGCCCUGGAAUUUCAGCAGGAAGCUCUGAUCCUGAAGCAGAUGCUGGAGGUUGGUGCCAU
rnacentral:lncRNA from 1 species